AGCGGUGUAUCUCAAUGGUAGAGAGUCAGUAUAAUUUACUGCAUCGGACUUUUCUUUCGAUAUACAGUACUGUUCACAGCUGAAGUCGAAGGUUCAAAUCCUUCCGCCGCUA
rfam:Trichomonas vaginalis G3, whole genome shotgun sequence.